UCUGAUUAUUUAAACUCCUUUUAUUUUGUUUCACUGCAGCUGUGAAACAGACUCAUCCUGGGAUGAGGCCCCAAAUGCAUUUCAAAUAGAUUCUGAUGUUUCCUGCAACAAGCCGAUCAAGAGCUCAGUGAGCAGAGACGUGUUCAAAGGAGACCAAUUCAAGUUUUGUCUGACAAACCCACUUGGCUCCUGGUGCAAAACCCAUUACAUGAUCAUCCCACCUACACCUCAGCCCUCUAUUGGUAAUCCACCUGAGGAGAACUCCUUCCUGCUGACACUAUGUGUGGUUCUGGUUCUGCAAAACCCAUUACCCAGUAUUCUCUAAAGAUGGUGUACCUACUUAUAACAACAUGAUGGUGCUGAAAGUAGGCAGUUUGCUUGUGCUUCUGGCUUGGCUGUAGUCAAUAAAGAGCUCAUGUACCUCAUCAAAAA